rnacentral:lncRNA from 1 species
AUCCCAGCACUUUGGGAGGCCGAGGCGGGAAAAUUGUUGAGUCCUCCCACCUUCUCACAUUUUAUUAUAAGCAUCAGGAGGAGCCAAGCCACACUUUCAAUACAUUGCGUAGAAAUGUCCUCAGCUAAACAUCUGAUUUCAUCACUCUCAAGUUCUACCUUUCACAGAACACUAGAACACAAACACAGUGUUUGCUUGCGUGGUUAGAGACCAGCCUAGGCAACACGCUGAGGCUCUGCCUCUAUAAAAAAUUUUAAAAAUAAUUAGCUAGGUGUGGUGGCAUGCACCUGUGGUCCUAGCUCAUAGGGAGGCUGAGGUGUGACGAUCGCUUGAGCCCAUGAGGUGGAGGCUGCAGUGAGCUGUGAUCAUGCCAUUGCACUCCAGCCUGGGUGACAGAGACCUUGUCUCAAAGAAACCAAAAAAUUAAAAAUUAAGAAGGAGGAAAAUGAACAUCUGUAUGGUGCCCUAAAAACUGCCAUUUGGAAUUAAAUCAGAGAACUCUUAGACAACGACAACCUCUCAAGGCACCCCCUCUACCUCCCUCAUUGAAAACUCCCCUCCUCUUUGGUGAGUUUUGUUCACCCCUCCAAACAUACUAGCUGGUUCACAAGCCUGCUGGGUUCACAUGAGACUUGAGAUCCAGAGCAGCCGAAGCCCAUGAGCUGCUUCUCACAGCGAAGGGUUAUUGAACUCCCCAACCAUCCUUCUGCCUGGAGAUGGAUUUUCAUUUUCCUUCCUCCCUCCCUGGGAGGGAAUGACCCUCUGUGAAGUGCCCACUAAGGUGAGUAACCAAGCAAAGUGAGCGAAAGCCUGGAUGAUCCCCAACAGCCAAGCCGCCAGCCCCUCCCAACAGAGUGACCUCUCCUCCCCUGGCAAAGUGGAUGCAACUUAGUCUAUCAUCUCCAUGCCCUACCAUCAUCACGGCCGGCCCCCCAACUCCCCGUGCUCCACACUAACUGCAAAUCAUCUCUCUAAUGGAGAUGCCUCCUCCACUUCUUUGAAAGCCAUUUCCCUACAACAGAGCAUGAGAGACCACCACUACUCCUUCCCCAAUAGCUGCAAGGUGAUCGCUCCAAGGUGGUCCCCAUCUCUGAGCUCAGAGACUGCUGGUUUACUUUAAGGCAGGCAUGGUGCCCAUUUCUUUUUCUUUUUUCUUUUUUGAGAUGGAGUUUUGCUCUUUUUGCCCAGGCUGGAGUGCAAUGGCAUGGUCUCAGCUUACUGCAACAUCUGCCUCCCGGGUUCAAGUGAUUCUCCUGACUCAGCCUCCUGACUAGUUGGGAUUACAGGCUCCCGCCACCACAUCCAGCUAAUUUUUGUAUUUUCAGUAGAGACAGGAUUUCGAUGUCUUGGUCAGGCAGGUCUUGAAGUCCUGACCUCAGGUGAUACACCUGCCUCGGCCUCCCAAAGUGCUGAGAUUACAGGCGUGAGCCAUCGCGCCCAGCUAAUUUUUGUAUUUUCAGUAGAGAUGGGAUUUUGACAUGUUGGUCAGACUGGUCUCGAACUCCUGACCUCAGAUUGUCUGCCUGCCUUGGCCUCCCAAAGUGCUGGGAUUACAGGCAUGAACCACUGUGCUCGGCCCAUGCUUCUCAUUUCUAAAACACUUAUGAUUGAGAUGAGUCACCAGCUAGACCAACACCCCAAAUCAUCCACAGCAUUAAAGUCAAUGAAGAAACCAAGGGGGAGAUUUCAGGCUCCUGCAAAGGGAGGGGAGAAUUUUUCCUUUUUGGUAGGUAUCGAGUUCAGAAACCCUUUCAAGGUGUCCUCUUUAAUUCUCUGGCCAAGGAGAGGGAAUAUGUACUAGGCUGAGACGGCAGGGAACAUGAACUGCUGCCACCGGCUGGAUUACUGACUGCUUCUCAGUUUCAUCAGCCUCUGCAGGGCACCACUGAGCCAGUGCGCUUCUGCAGAGAAGCAGAGGGCUGAUUCACAGCUCUAGGGGUUGCCACAUCUUGGGGGCAAGUUCUGUUCUUUCUGCAGGACUCUUGAGAGAGAGCUCC